AGCUGUAAACCUAGCCCUCAAAAAACAAUAACCCUCAAAUCCCAACUAAAUCAUUUAUACUCUUUAGUAUAGGCGAUAAAAAAAGAAAUAAGCGCGACAGACAGAGUACCGUAAGGGAAAGAUGAAAUAGUUAUGAAAUAGCCACCAAAGCACUAAAAAGCAGAGAUACAUCCUCGUACCUUUUGCAUCAUGGUCUAGCAAGAAACCUUAAGCAAAAUGCAUUAAAGUUUAACCCCCCGAAACUAGACGAGCUACUCCGAGGCAGCUAUAAGAGCAAACCCAUCUCUGUGGCAAAAGAGUGGGAAGACCCCCGA
rnacentral:rRNA from 1 species